UACAGAGGUCCCGAGCGUUGUUCGGAUUCACUGGGCGUAAAGGGUGCGUAGGUGGCGAUGAAAGUUCGAUGUGAAAUCUCCGGGCUUAACCCGGAAAAGGCAUUGAAAACUAUGUUGCUUGAGGUUUGGAGGGGGGACUGGAAUUCUUGGUGUAGCAGUGAAAUGCGUAGAUAUCAAGAGGAACACCAGUGGCGAAGGCGGGUCCCUGGACAACACCUGACACUGAGGCACGAAAGCGUGGGGAGCAAACAGG
rnacentral:rRNA from 1 species